ACUUAAAUUGAAGAGUUUGAUCAUGGCUCAGAUUGAACGCUGGCGGCAGGCCUAACACAUGCAAGUCGAACGGUAACAGGAAGCAGCUUGCUGCUUCGCUGACGAGUGGCGGACGGGUGAGUAAUGUCUGGGAAACUGCCCGAUGGAGGGGGAUAACUACUGGAAACGGUAGCUAAUACCGCAUAAUGUCGCAAGACCAAAGAGGGGGACCUUCGGGCCUCUUGCC
rnacentral:rRNA from 1 species